UCGAAACCUGCAGAGCAGAACGACCCGCGAACACGUUUUAAACACUUGGGGGCGCUUGCGCCCUCCCGUCCCCGACGACUUGCGCGCUUGCGCGCUCGUUUUUGGGGGCCAACGAACGAACCCCGGCGCGGAAAGCGCCAAGGAAUACUAAAAUCGGCAGCCCUCCCCUCGCGCCCCGUUCGCGGAUCGCCCGGGGGGACGCGCGCUGCUCUUUAAACACAAACGACUCUCGGCAACGGAUAUCUCGGCUCUCGCAUCGAUGAAGAACGUAGCGAAAUGCGAUACUUGGUGUGAAUUGCAGAAUCCCGUGAACCAUCGAGUCUUUGAACGCAAGUUGCGCCCGAAGCCAUUAGGCCGAGGGCACGUCUGCCUGGGCGUCACGCAUCGCGUCGCCCCCCGCGCACCUUGCGCGGGGGCGGAAGCUGGCCUCCCGUGCGCCCCGAGCGCGCGGCUGGCCUAAAUGCGAGUCCACGUCGACGGACGUCGCGGCAAGUGGUGGUUGAAACUCAACUCUCUCUCGUUGUCGCGGCUACAGCCCGUCGCGCGUCCGGACUCCCAGACCCU
rnacentral:misc_RNA from 1 species